rnacentral:lncRNA from 1 species
CACAGCAGACACCAGGACACUGAACUCUUCAAAGGCCUAGUUCAUAGCUAAACUGUGUCUUCUGAAAUCUUGAAUCCUCUUCUGCAUCACCUCACAGCUUUUGCACAAGGACUGCAAAAGGUGUCUGCUGACCGAGCCAAAAGGCUGGUGGGCUGAAACACUUUUGGCUGCAGAGAAGGGAUUAAACUUGGACUCCAUUAAGUGACAGUAGCUGGAAGAAAUUUUUAAGCUGAUUUUUCAUUCCAUCCAAACCAUCACAUAUUCCUUGAAAAGAAGCUUUGUAUCCUAAAUAAAGAUAUUGAUAUUUUAGUUGAGGAUUUGGAGCAGAACCUCAGUAUGUGUGAAGGGAAUUCAGUGAAAGGAGUAAAUCUUGGCUUUCUGACUCCUAACCUGUUUUCAUCCAGACAUCCAUACCCUGCUGCUGCAGAACUGGCCUGA